UGGUUAAGGCAUGCAAGUCGAGCGAACCAAUUUAAGUAGCAAUACAAGAAGAGGUUAGCGGCAGACGGGUGCGUAACACAUUGGCAAUCUACCCUUAAGACGUGCAUAGCUCACCGAAAGGUGGGGUAAUACACGAUGGACAUGUGGGGCCACAAGACAUUCACAUGUAAACGCAGCAAUGCGCUUGAGGAGGAGCCUAUGGCCUAUCAGCUAGUUGGUGAGGUAAUGGCUCACCAAGGCUAUGACGGGUAGGGGAUGUGAGAGCAUGAUCCCCCUCACUGGGACCGAGACACUGCCCAGACACCUACGGGUGGCUGCAGUCGCGAAUAUUCGGCAAUGGACGAAAGUCUGACCGAGCGACGCCGCGUGCGGGAUGAAGGCCUUCGGGUCGUAAACCGC
rnacentral:rRNA from 1 species